rnacentral:SRP_RNA from 1 species
GCCAGUGCGGAGACGCAUGCCUGUAGUCCAGCUACUCGGGAGGCUUGAGCUGACGAGUUCUGGGCUAUAGUGUGCUAUGCCCAUCGGGUGUCCGUCCUAAGUUCGGCAUCAAUAUGGUGAUCUCCCGGGAGUGGGGGACCACUAGGUUGCCUAAGGAGGCGUGAACUGGCCCAGGUUGGAAAUGGAGCAGGUCAAAGCUCCAGUGCUGGUGAGCAGUGGGAUCGAGCCUGUGAAUAGCCACUGCACUCCAGCCUGGGCAACAU